UUAUUUGAUAAAAACUAUUGAAAGAUGCUCAUUUACCGUGAAAAAGAGUUUAGCAUACAUUAAUACAAAUGUAGAAUAUGGUAGAAAUUUUAAAACAACACUAAAGAUUAUUGGCUUCAUUAUAUAAAGUAUUUACCAAAAACUCAAUAUUUUUGUAGGGGUUAGCCCCUUGAUUUUGAGAAAAUUUAAAAAAACACAAGAAACUCGCGUAUGUGUAAUGUAAUUUUCGUCAGUGUUAUAAAGUAGCAAAGUAAUAAGACACGAGAAGAGACAACAUUAUGAUAUAGAGAAAAAUAAAGGGAGAGAAUAAUUGAGAAAGAGAGGUCAACAUCAAAUCUUCAAAACCAAAUCUCACAGAGACAAACAGACACGUGUCGUUGUUUGAUUGUCACAAGUAGGCAUAAUCUUAUCUUAGAAUCCACUUGUGUUGUGUCCCUCUCAUUCUCCAACUCUGAUUGUUUUGCCCUCUCACUCUUUCCACUAACCCAACAGGCAACAGCUUGACAAAUCCAUCAUUGCGCAAUAUACAACAAUAUGCAUAUUGCAAUCUAAUAGUUUUUGGCUGAGCCCUUAUCUUUUGAUAGUGAAAUCUCGACAAACUGUGUCGUGUUGGACUAUAGGGUUGAAUUAUCUUAUGCUUGUAGAUUCAUACAUGUUUGGUUUAAUCCAAGAGCUUUGAGUUACGACAGUUCUUGAUAUUUUUUUUUUAACUUGACAGUUCUUGAUAGUUUCUCUUGUUACUUCGUGUUUUCAGUUUCUAACACGAUUAUAAAAGUUUGAUUGAUGUUUAAGAUAAUUAAAUUUUAUUCUUAGAUUGUGAAUGUGUCUCCUUAAUCCAAGAGCAUUUAGAUUGUUGAUUAAACUUAAAGUACAUAUUAUUUAGUUUAAUACUUAAAAUUAAAGAUUAGUCGAUAAGUAGACACUCAUUCAUCUUGCUCGACACAAGACAGGCCCGAUUAAUACCUAGCAAACUUGUAGACGUUAUUGUGCAUGUUUAGACAACAUGACUGAAUGGAAGAAGAUUUUAGUAUUUAAUCAUUGUGGCAACUGGCAAGUGGCAAGUAAUGGACGGUUUCAAAGUUGAUAUAAUAUUAUGUUCAACUUGAUAUUAUUAAUCUAAAAGACUUUGAGGAUCCCUUUUCAUUUUCUUGUCUUUCACUCGUUCCUUCCUAGUUGAUAUAAAUUAGUCAACUAUUCCAAAUCCGUUUAAUUAAUGAUUGAUUCUAACAUUAACUGACAAUUAAGCAUUACAAUGUUGGCCAGACAAUUCUCUUAAUUAUCUUACAUUAAAUUAAAAUAAAACACUUUAAAAUCAUUAUCUUUUACUUGGAUUCCAGCCGAGUCUCCUCCAAAAAAGAAUUAAAAAUGUUAUCGUUCAACUAAAGGUAAAACUCGAGAAUUAACAUCACUAGUUCAAUCUAUUUUUUUCUCUAAAAUAAAAUAAUUCUAUAAUAGAGUUGGUUGUUGCUCAAAUGGUACUAUAUUUUAGAAUGAAAAAUAAAGUGAUGAAUAAAAAAUUAAAAAAUUUACUCUAUAUGUAGAGUAAAAAAUAAGUUUACACUAUUAUGAAAUAGAAAAUAUAGUAUCAUCGAAACAUUUUUGCUCUACAUUUUAUUUUAGAGGGAAAAGUAAAGUGGGGUUGGAGAUAUCCUAAAGGAUACUUGAAACGUUCCAUCCAAAUUAAUUUGAUUCAUUUGUGAUUAUAUAAAAUAAUGUAUUAUCCUUGAAUAUUUAACAACAAUGGCAACAUUUUUUAAAUCCUUUAUUCAAAAAAAAAAAAAAAAAUGGCAAAAACGACACACGCUACGCCACGCCAGUGUGCCAUACCAAUAAAAAAUUGAUACGUAAAGAUUCGCACCAAGCCGGUCUGUAUUUAAAUCUGUAACACCCAUGCUAAACCAGCUCGUACCGGCUAACAUGCAUGCAGUAAAGGUCAUGCUUUAUUCUAAAAAUUAGUACUAUUAUUAUUUUUCUCUAAAAAUUAUUUUAAUUGUUGAAGAACAAGUAUUAUUGCCUUAAGCAGUUUAUUUUUCUCUGAAUUAACGUAAUAUACUUGUUUACAUUUAUAUUUGUCAACACAAAGAGAAAUAAAAAUGCGUGUAUAUAUAUAAUAUUUGCUAAACAAAUAAUACGAUAAAUUAAAAUUAAACAACGUAACUUUUUAAUCAGCUCCUUUUCUUCCCUAGCCUGAAUUAAGAGCAGGUUAAAAAAACUAAAACAAGAGAAAACUAAAGCAGAAAAAUAAUAAAAUCAACAAAAAA